rnacentral:tRNA from 1 species
GCCUUAGUGGUAUAGUGGUCAGCACGCUCGGCUCAUUUUCGAGAGGUCCGCGGUUCGAAUCUCGGCGAGGGCA